UACGUAGGGGGCAAGCGUUGUCCGGAUUUAUUGGGCGUAAAGAGCUCGUAGGCGGUCUGUCGCGUCGGCUGUGAAAACUCGGGGCUCAACUCCGAGCUUGCAGUCGAUACGGGCAGGCUAGAGUUCGGCAGGGGAGACUGGAAUUCCUGGUGUAGCGGUGAAAUGCGCAGAUAUCAGGAGGAACACCGGUGGCGAAGGCGGGUCUCUGGGCCGACACUGACGCUGAGUGCGCGAAAGCCAGGGGAGCAAACGGG
rnacentral:rRNA from 1 species